GACAGAGGGGUGCAAACGUUGUUCGGAAUUACUGGGCGUAAAGCGUGUGUAGGCGGCUACAUAAGUCGGAUGUGAAAGCCCCGGGCUCAACCCGGGAAGUGCACUCGAUACUGCGUAGCUUGAGUCUCGGAGAGGUUGGUGGAAUUCUCGGUGUAGAGGUGAAAUUCGUAGAUAUCGAGAGGAACACCGGUGGCGAAGGCGGCCAACUGGGACGAAAGACUGACGCUGGAGAACACGAAAAGCGUGGGGAGCAAACAGG
rnacentral:rRNA from 1 species